rnacentral:rRNA from 1 species
GAAACACGGACCAAGGAGUCUAACACGUGCGCGAGUCGCAGGGUUGUACGAAACCCGAGGGCGUAACGAAAGUGAAACGGAUCUUCGGAUCUACAGGUGGGAUCCCGAAGCACACGUGCGACGGGCGCACCACCGGCCUGUCUCGGCCGCCACGUCGGCGAGGCGGAGCAAGAGCGUACGCGUUGGGACCCGAAAGAUGGUGAACUAUGCCUGAGCAGGAUGAAGCCAGAAGAAAUUCUGGUGGAAGUCCGCAGCGAUUCUGACGUGCAAAUCGAUCGUCAAACUUGGGUAUAGGGGCGAAAGACUAAUCGAACCAUCUAGUAGCUGGUUC